rnacentral:tmRNA from 1 species
GGGGAUGCAAUGCAUCGACAAGAAAGCACAUUAAAAAACUGCAAGCCGACUUUGAUAAAUAGUCGUUAAACAGAAUCAAAAGAUAAGUGCUAAUAAACGUGCACAAUCGUUCUUUGCAGAAAUGCUUGGAAUGAAUUUCAGACCCGCUUUGGCAUUAACUGCCUAAAGUUUGUUUGGAUGUUCAGUUUGUCUUUUCUCAAUGGGACUUUCUGAGCAUAAAAACAGUUGAGAUAAAGGGUAAGGAAAGCGGUUUUGUCCUUAUUCAUUUUAUUAAACCUUAACUUUAUUUAUUCCCGCCGAUAGGAAAAGAAUAAAGCGAAAAUUAAAUAUUGGCUAAGCUUGUAGAAGUUUCUUAAUUAGAUUCUUGGACUCCGGAUCACACCGGACAUCUCCACAC